GAUGAACGCUGGCGGCGUGCCUAAUACAUGCAAGUCGAGCGAACAGAUGAGGAGCUUGCUCCUCUGACGUUAGCGGCGGACGGGUGAGUAAAACGUGGAUAACCUACCUAUAUGACUGGGAUAACUUCGGGAAACCGGAGCUAAUACCGGCUAAUAUAUUGAACCGCAUGGUUCAGUAGUGAAAGACGGUUUUGCUGUCACUUAUAGAUGUAUCCGCGCCGCAUUAGCUACUUGGUGAGGUAACGGCUUACCAAGGCAACGAUCCUUAGCCGACCUCCGGGGGUGAUCGGACACACUGUAACUGAGACACAUUCGAAACAGCUACAGUAAGCUGCAGUAGGGAAUCGUACGCUAUGGGCGAAAGCCGGACGGAGCAAAGCCGCGUGGGUGAUGAAGGUCCUCGGAUUGUAAAUCUCUGUUAGUAGGCAAGAAGAAAUGUGUAAGUAACGAUGCGCGUCUUGACGGGACUCAGGCAUAAAGCCACGCCUAACUACGUG
rnacentral:rRNA from 1 species